rnacentral:rRNA from 1 species
AUUGAACGCUGGCGGCAGGCCUAACACAUGCAAGUCGAGCGGAUGAAGGGAGCUUGCUCCUGGAUUCAGCGGCGGACGGGUGAGUAAUGCCUAGGAAUCUGCCUGGUAGUGGGGGAUAACGUCCGGAAACGGGCGCUAAUACCGCAUACGUCCUGAGGGAGAAAGUGGGGGAUCUUCGGACCUCACGCUAUCAGAUGAGCCUAGGUCGGAUUAGCUAGUUGGUGGGGUAAAGGCCUACCAAGGCGGCGAUCCGUAACUGGUCUGAGAGGAUGAUCAGUCACACUGGAACUGAGACACGGUCCAGACUCCUACGGGAGGCAGCAGUGGGGAAUAUUGGACAAUAGGCGAAAGCCUGAUCCAGCCAUGCCGCGUGUGUGAAGAAGGUCUUCGGAUUGUAAAGCACUUUAAGUUGGGAGGAAGGGCAGUAAGUUAAUACCUUGCUGUUUUGACGUUACCAACAGAAUAAGCACCGGCUAACUUCGUG